rnacentral:rRNA from 1 species
GACGAACGCUGGCGGCGUGCUUAACACAUGCAAGUCGAACGGAAAGGCCCUGCUUGCAGGGUACUCGAGUGGCGAACGGGUGAGUAACACGUGGGUGAUCUGCCCUGCACUUCGGGAUAAGCCUGGGAAACUGGGUCUAAUACCGGAUAGGAGCCAUUUUUAGUGUGAUGGUUGGAAAGUUUUUUCGGUGUAGGAUGAGCUCGCGGCCUAUCAGCUUGUUGGUGGGGUAAUGGCCUACCAAGGCGGCGACGGGUAGCCGGCCUGAGAGGGUGGACGGCCACAUUGGGUCUGAGAGGCGGCCCAGACGCCGACGGGAGGCAGCAGUGGGGAAUAUUGCACAAGGGGCGCCAGCCUGAUGCAGCGACGCCGCGUGGGGGAUGACGGCCUUCGGGUUGUAAACUCCUUUCGCUAGGGACGAAGCUUUUUGUGACGGUACCUAGAUAAGAAGCACCGGCUAACUACGUG